AUGGAUAUUAUGGUUAGAAACCAAGACCUCCUCGUACUGUCAGUCUUCUUACUUUGGAGCUCAGGUCUAACUGAUGGGAGUGAUGUCACCCAGACCCCCAUACUGUGGAAAUAUAAGGGUGAUAAUGCAACCAUAGACUGCAGACACACCAAAGGUGCUGGCUACUACCAGAUGUACUGGUACAGACAGCUGCCAGGAGAACUCAUGAAACAAGUAGUAUUCACUACAGCAAGCAGCCAACCUGACUUUGAAGCAGAAUUCAAGGGUCACAAAUUCUCAGUCACCAAACCCGACGCUCACAGUGGAACAUUCACCGUGAUGGAUCUGGUCCCAGGAGAUAAAGGCUUGUAUUUCUGUGCAGUCGGUGAACACAGUGAUACAGACGCAUGUGAGAGCUGAACAAAAACCUCAGCUCUGCUCUUCUGUCUCAUGUACUGUAGGGGGAUGUCAAGCACCACAAAUACUCAAAGAACGUCACACAAAGAGGCGACACUCCCACCCUGCAACUCUUUAUAUUUACUCUGCAAACACACUCUCAUUUACAUAUGAGCCUCUGACGUCCACAACAUGGACAUUAACCAACACGGUCGCCUCAGCUUUGUUAUAUUUCUGCUCUGGAUUAAAGGUGAAAUUGUAGUAAUUGUUAAGUUUUCUAUUUAAAAAUCAGAAAUCAGGUUUAACCCACGGCAGUGAUGUGAC